AUCUAAAUAGUUUAAUAAAAAUAUUAAUUUGUGGUAUUAAUGAUACAAUUAAUUUGUUUUAGAUA
rnacentral:tRNA from 1 species